AUGAGCUGGGAAGGGCCAUGGGGCACCGCGCCGGUGCUCUGCUUCGCAUCCGGGAGGCGCGAGGGCCGCAGCGGCGCGGCCAGGCUGCCUCCGGCCGAGCCCCAUAUGCCCGGAGCAUCCGGAGCCAGGAAGGGGCUUGGCAGCGCCGGCGCGGGCCCCGGCGGGAGGCCGGCAGCGGGGCCGCGCCGCACCGAGCCAGCCGCCUCUGGCCGGUCCCACGGGAGAGCACCGCUGCCGCCGGGUUUAGGCGCAAGCAGCCCCCAAACGGGCGCAAACAGCCCCAAAACGUCGACCCGCGGGGCCGGAGAUGCCGGGGGGCUGGAGAUGCCGGGGGGCCGGAUUGCCGUCCUUGGUCCCUGCCGGCACCGUGACCCGGUGCAAGGAGAGCUCGGCCCCUGGCGGCGUGGUUGCACCGGGAGACGCUCCCGGGCAGUCUCUCAUGCGUGCACCGAGCGCGGCAGGUCUCAGCCUCCCCUGCCGAGGGUGCGAGCAGGCGCUGGAGCCCUGCGGCCAUCGGGAGGAGCCGAGGCAGCUCCCGGAGCCGGCACGUCCCCUCGGCAAGCCCGGGCGGCUGCGGCGGCGAGCAGGAUGCCUCCAUCCGUCGCGGAGGGGAGCAGAGACCCCGCGAGCUCGUGCCGCCCGCCGGGCUCCAGCCGGGAUGCUGCGGGAGAGGAGGGAAGCGGGGUCGAGAAGGACCCUGGGCUGCGGCGGAGACGCAUCCUGCUCCGCUCGGCCCAGCUUUUCCUCCCGGAUAAAAGCCCGGAGCUGACGGGAGACGGUGCCGGGGUGGCAAGCCGGGCCAGGCCGGCGGAUCCGGGGAGGAGCGGAGUGUGCCGGCACCCUGCUCACCUCUCUCCUGCCCCAACCGGCAUCGGGAUUCACAAAACUUGGAGCAUUUGUGAUGUUUGGGACAAGGCGGGAUACAAAGGGUCCCACUGGGAAGGGAGGGGGGGGUCCCAGGACGGAUGGGGCCUCGGCAUGCAGAUCCGAGCCCGUGGCUGGGGAGCAGCAUGCAGCAUCCGUCUGUCCGUCCGGCACCGCGCGGAUGCCACCGGCACAGGCCGGGAUUGCCGCCAGAGGGAGCCUCCCGGAGCACGGAGAGGUGGAAAAGCUCCAUUUCUGAGACCCGAGGCGCUUCCACGGUGCGGGAGGGGGGAGCCGGUGCCCGGGGGCCCCUCCGUUCCCGCCUCCGCCACACUGCCGGCCGGGGGAGCCAGCAGAAAAGCCCCGGGAUGA
rnacentral:lncRNA from 1 species